rnacentral:rRNA from 1 species
CCUACGGGAGGCAGCAGUGGGGAAUAUUGCACAAUGGGCGCAAGCCUGAUGCAGCCAUGCCGCGUUUGUGAAGAAGGCCUUCGGGUUGUAAAGCACUUUCAGCGGGGAGGAAGGCGGUGAGGUUAAUAACCUCAUCGAUUGACGUUACCCGCAGAAGAAGCACCGGCUAACUCCGUGCCAGCAGCCGCGGUAAUACGGAGGGUGCAAGCGUUAAUCGGAAUUACUGGGCGUAAAGCGCACGCAGGCGGUCUGUCAAGUCGGAUGUGAAAUCCCCGGGCUCAACCUGGGAACUGCAUUCGAAACUGGCAGGCUAGAGUCUUGUAGAGUGGGGUAGAAUUCCAGGUGUAGCGGUGAAAUGCGUAGAGAUCUGGAGGAAUACCGGUGGCGAAGGCGGCCCCCUGGACAAAGACUGACGCUCAGGUGCGAAAGCGUGGGGAGCAAACAGGAUUAGAUACCCGAGUAGUC